UUAUUUUCCCAAAUGUUUCUUCUGUUCGGAUCUGAAGUGAAUCUACAUCUUGAAGCCCUUGUUGUGCCUCCAAACACACAACAACCUGACAUUUUCAGAGAAUAAAUGAAUAAAAUAGCUGAUUUACAUGCAGAUGGAUUAACAGCCAACACUGUUUUGGAACCAAGAUGUCGCCACUCAUCACGUGACACCCCCCAUGUCACCACACUCUCAAUUAAGGCACACUAACAGUUACUGAUGUGGGACUCACGUGCACGUGCUGUCAGACUGAGUGCACAGAGGAGUUUAUUCUCUGCUCAGAAUUAUUUUAAGACAAAAUAAGUGAUGAAAAUUUCAGUUCUAUAAACUAGUUUUUACGUUACCGCAGUUCACUUAAACCUAGAGUGCAGUGCAAGUUCCCUGGGAACUUUGGUGCCCCCUUAAGGGGAAAACUUUUUAUCAUGCAACUUCAGAUAAAACUUUUUUUUUUACAUAUUUGAAUCAAAUUUAAGCAUGACUGAAGUUUUGACUAAAAUUGACCACCAGAGCUGAAAAAAAAAUCUCAUGGAAAAACUGCAAUGAGUCAUGUUUUCCUCAGUCAUUUUAUUGAUCACUGGCAUCAGGAAAACCAUGAUCAGCGUUAUGACCCCAAAAAGAGCAUGCAAGAUUUGAGGUCAAAGGUCACAUCACAGACUCUUGGCUACAUGUUUGUCACUUAAGGUUCCUGAGACGUCCCAGGACGACUGAAAAGGUGAACAGAAAAACAUGCAGCAUGGCUGCAGCAGGCACACUGCCCUCCAGAGGGAGAACAGGGAGCUGCAGUCUGAUGUGAACAAACCUCAAUCUAUAAAACUUGUUUCAGACUCGUUUCUUUUCUUUCUGUUAAUCUGUGAGUCGUUAACUCAUCAUCCAGAAACAGGUUCAGUCCAGUUUGUAUUCAGUCAUGUUGUGUUUCAGCGCCGCCUCCGAGCGAGCAGCGCUCUUUAUUGCUCGCUGUAUCAGCCACAUGCUCACAUGGACGCUGAUAAAAGCACUGCCAGCUGCCCAGAACCAGUUCCUCCUGAUCCAGCUCUGAGACCUCAUCACCCAGAUCCUGAUCAGCUUACACGUCUUACUCUGUUGGACCAGCAGUCCACUGAGGCUGGGACCUUGGACCUUGCAGGGACAGACUGGUGUGGGUAUCCGGGUCGGGUCUACUUGUUCUUGGACUGGAUUUGUCUUUGGGACUUUGAAUCAGAGGAUAUGCCUUCAGGUUGUACCAGCCCCAGUGGAUCAGCCCCAGACUGGUUCCCAUAACAAUCAGGACUUUGUACUUUUCCCAGAUGCUCUGGAGGCCCAUGACAGACAGGAAGUCACCUAGAACAACAUUAACCAA